CUUUACAACACAGACUUUGUUAAAUUGUUUGUUUUAAAUGGAUUUGAAAUUUUCUGGUGGCUAGCUGAAAGUUUCUGCUGUAUUGUUUAGCUCACAUUCCUCAUCAAGUACAGACUGGAUUGGUUCAGGAACCUGAGAUAGGGAGGCGGUAGGACUGGAUGGAAUGUGAUGGUGGGUGUGAUGGCCUGUCAGGGACAUUGAUUAGUUCCGAGGAAGCUAUCCAGAGUGAUGAGAGAGGAGACACGAGCAGAUAGUCUGGGUCAAUUAGGCUUGAUAUUCACCGUCAUUGGUAUAUUUUGCAAGUUUACAAGAUUUGUGAAUGUAUUUCCAGUCAAGCAAGUGUGCCAUAUUAAGUAAGAUAUAUUGAUAUUUCUGAAAUGUUGUUAUACUUUACACUUAGAUUUAAAAAGUUUCCACUUUAUUCAUUUACAGAUCAACUUUUAGCACUAAAAUGUUUUAUUAGAAGGUGUUGGUUAUG